ensembl:lncRNA
UCCCCAGCCCCAGCCCCGCCAUCUCCACCAGACCUGACAGUUCACAAAUCUCAUCUUGGAGAUGGUUUCCCUGCUCCUGGGGCAGUUCUGGUACAGUUCAGGAUGGCCAGGACUGUGGGUUCUCAGCAGCCUGGCCUGGUGGACAAAGGAAAUGCAAGAUGGUGGCAAACCAGCAUUCAGCCUCAUCUGCUCCUUUCCUCCCCUGCCUGAUCAGCCAGCCUGCAUGAGCCUCUGUAUUUGUUUCUGGCUUCUCCAUGGAACUCAGCCUACAGCCACAAAGCAAACCACGGGGCCAGUGACAGAGAAGGCAGAGGGGAGUGAGGAGUGGGAAACACCUAACCUGUUCUCAAGGAAGGGAAUGACUGGCCAAGAUGAGAUUCAAUCGUAUGUCCACUACCUCCUGGCCUGCCACCUGGCUGUGAGUCCUUUGUGGGUGGUGUCCAGAGGCGGUUCCAGUGACCAGGCAGGUGCUGAGAAGCACAGGCAGUUUUUCCAUCCGAAAAAUGGAAAUAACAACCCACCACUCCACGAGUCUUUUCAGAAUUGA